rnacentral:rRNA from 1 species
GAUGAACGUUGGCGGCGUGCCUAAUACAUGCAAGUCGAACGCGAAGCCCGUUUUCGAAUGGGCGGAGAGUGGCGCACGGGUGAGUAACACAUGGCUGACCUGCCCUUCAGCGGGGGACAACCACUAGAAAUGGUGGCUAAUACCCCAUAUGCUCACGGUGAUUAGAAGGCUGUGAGGAAAAUUCUGGUGCUGAGGGAGGGGGCUGUGGCCCAUCAGCUAGUUGGUGAGGUAACGGCUCACCAAGGCGAGGACGGGUAGGGGGCCUGAGAGGGUGACCCCCCACACGGGUACUGAGAUACGGACCCGACUCCUACGGGUGGCAG